GCCAAUGACGAUCCGUCCGACUGUUGAGCUUAUAGUGGUUCCAAGACCUUGAUAUCAAGGAGAACCUACUUGGAGUUGCCAUUGUUUGCCAUUGAUAAAAAAGGACUCUGUCUGAGGC